rnacentral:rRNA from 1 species
AGUAGCCGCGGUAAUACGUAGGUGGCAAGCGUUGUCCGGAAUUAUUGGGCGUAAAGGGCUCGCAGGCGGUUUCUUAAGUCUGAUGUGAAAGCCCCCGGCUCAACCGGGGAGGGUCAUUGGAAACUGGGAAACUUGAGUGCAGAAGAGGAGAGUGGAAUUCCACGUGUAGCGGUGAAAUGCGUAGAGAUGUGGAGGAACACCAGUGGCGAAGGCGACUCUCUGGUCUGUAACUGACGCUGAGGAGCGAAAGCGUGGGGAGCGAACAGGAUUAGAUACCCCUGUAGUCCCUGUCUCUUAUACA